rnacentral:rRNA from 1 species
GAUGAACGCUGGCGGCGUGCCUAAUACAUGCAAGUCGAACGCUGAAGGAGGAGCUUGCUCUUCUGGAUGAGUUGCGAACGGGUGAGUAACGCGUAGGUAACCUGCCUGGUAGCGGGGGAUAACUAUUGGAAACGAUAGCUAAUACCGCAUGACAACAGUUAUUGCAUGAUAACUGUUUAAAAGGGGCAACUGCUCCACUACCAGAUGGACCUGCGUUGUAUUAGCUAGUUGGUGAGGUAACGGCUCACCAAGGCGACGAUACAUAGCCGACCUGAGAGGGGGAUCGGCCACACUGGGACUGAGACACGGCCCAGACUCCUACGGGAGGCAGCCGUAGGGGAUCUUCGGCAAUGGACGGAAGUCUGACCGAGCAACGCCGCGUGAGUGAAGAAGGUUUUCGGAUCGUAAAGCUCUGUUGUAAGAGAAGAACGAGUGUGAGAGUGGAAAGUUCACACUGUGACGGUAUCUUACCAGAAAGGGACGGCUAACUACGUG